rnacentral:rRNA from 1 species
GAUGAACGCUGGCGGCGUGCCUAAUACAUGCAAGUCGAGCGAACGGACGAGAAGCUUGCUCCUCUGAUGUUAGCGGCGGACGGGCGAGUAACACGUGGAUAACCUACUUAUAAUACUGGGAUAAUUUCGGAAAACCGGAGCUACUACCGGAUCAUAUUUUGAACCGCAGGGUUCAAAAGUGCAAGACGCCUUUGCCGUCACUUAUAGAUGGAUCCGCGCUGGAUUAGCUAGUUGGUAAGGUAACGGCUUACCAAGGCAACGAUGCGUAGCCGACCUGAGAGGAUGAUCAGCCACACUGGAACUGAGACACGGUCCAGACUCCUACGGGAGGCAGCAGUAGGGAAUAUUGCGCAAUGGGCGCAAGCCUGACGCAGCAAUACCGCGUGAGUGAUGAAGGUCUUCGGAUCGUAAAACUCUGUUAUUAGGGAAGAACAGAUGUGUAAGUAACUGUGCACAUCUUGACGGUACCUAAUCAGAAAGCCACGGCUAACUUCGUG